UUUUUUUUUUUUUUUUUUAAUGGUCGUAUGGAACGAAAUGCUACAAAACAGCAAAUCCCAGGAAGUUGGAGAAAAUCAGCUCCGUGGGACGCGCGCCCCCGCAGCCCCCGCGGACGCCCCCGCGCAGCCCCGCGCACCGACCAGGGGGCGCGCACCCCUCGCGCGGGACCAAGACAAAUGGAUAAGCUGCUCUGGUUUGCCACCACUAACUAGUCCCCCUGCCCUGAGGGGUCAGCCAACUGCUGCUAGAGCCUGAGGGGGCGGGGGGGCGCUGUCACAUUUCUGUCCCUUCCUCCACCUAAGUUGGAAGGUUUUCUUUGCGUCGAUGACACUAAGUCAGGACACGACAUGGGUGAGGUGUGUCACCACAGAAGCCUGGAGUCCAUCUGUGUCCACACACUCUAGCCACUUGCCUGUGGGUUAAAUGCUGAAGUGGGAGGGCCAGCCUGGGCUGCUCCUCCCAGGCCCCACCAGGCGGGCCUCUCCCAGCUCUGCCCUGACAGCCCACUUCCGUCCCUGCCCGGCUAAUUAAUUGGUGUCUAAAUGGAAUUGCAGUUGGCAGAACGGGGCAGCAAUGCCAAAGUUGAAUAAUCAUUUGGACCCGAAUCUGAGUUGUUUUCCAUCCUUGACAACAAAUAAUGUUACUCCAGAGCCUGCAGGCCAGGAGUUGAAAUCAGUUUAUAAUUUGGCUUCCAAUCUCACAUUCUCUCCACCACUUAAAUGUUCUUUUCUGCUUUUUAGCAUGCAGGGGGGCAGCUUUGGGGCUGGAUCCCUGACAUGGUCUGUACUGAUAUCUGUAAUGAAUAUUCUUUGCCAUCCAAAUAAAAAAGAGGAAGAGUCCACAUCAUUCAAAGCCACACUUGUUUUAACAAUGAAACUAAAUAGACUGUCGGCCCAUACUUUCCUAUGAUCAUUAAUAAUCUAAUUUGUUCUUCUCACUCCAGCAACUUGAAGAGAAACGCUCCGUUUUUUCAUCUACACACAGAGUCCCCAUUCAUUCAGCCCCGAAGUGCCUGGUCCUGGCAGUGCCACAGGCGAAGAGCCACAGGAUCGCCCAGCCCCUCCUCUUCUCCUCGUAAAGACCUCAUUAAAGCUCUGAUCCUUGGCUCUGGGAAGGACACGGUCUCUUAGCGGUUCCAAUUGUCCUGUACCCCAAGAAGGUAGUCACUCGAGUUGGAGAUGGAAAAGGAAAGAGAAAGUCAGAACCCCUGGCAAGGCUCCCAUAGAUCAGGGCGGGAUCGGAAUUAGCAUCAUGGAAAAUUACUGGAGGGAACCACAGGUGUGCAAAGGCAGGUGGGUGUGUCCCACUGGACAUAUCCCCUAUUAGAAGAAACAGAAGAGUCAUCACUUGCACACCUGCCACUUGCCAUACACCAAGCCAGCUGCACAGCGUGAGCUCAACGCACCCCCACAGCAAUGCUAUGGUUACAUCCAUUAACCUUCCCAUUUCACAGAUAGCGAAAAGGAGACUCAAAAGGGGUAAGAGGAGUUCCCGUCGUGGCUCAUGGUUAAUGAAUCCAACUAGGAACCAUAAGGUUGCACGUUCGAUCCAGGGCCUUCCUCAGUGGGUUAAGGAUCCCGCAUUGCCGUGAGCUGGGGUGUAGGUUGCAGACACGGCUCGGAUCCUGCGUUGCUGUGGCUCUGGCAUAGGCCAGUGGCUACAGCUCUGAUUUGACCCCUAGCCUGGGAACCUCCAUAUGCAGCAGCCCUAGAAAAGGCAAAAAGACCAAAAAAAAAAAAAAAAA
rnacentral:lncRNA from 9 species